UUGAUUCACCCAUAUUUGAGUACAUCAUAAUUUAUCUAUAUUAUUGGUAAACUAUACCGAAAAAAUUAGUGAAGUUCACCCAUAAUGUCAGUAAUGAGACUUUACUAAUAUAUGGGUAAAUUAAUUCACCCAUAUUUGGUUGAAAAAACAGUCAUUUCUAGUUCAGUUGUUUUCGUUGCGGUAAACAAACAACUUUGCCAUGCAGUUAAUUUUGAAGUCAGAACCUCUAAAUUAGUGUACAAAUAAUGGUAUAUGGUACUGAAAAUACCCUCGGCAAAUUGGUGCAUUAACUUACAGAACGGCAGCAGCGAAGAAUAUGGCCCAUUCUCUCCAGAGCUUCUGCUCUACAGAAAUAGCGGCAAGCGAAAUCCCACCAGUCCCAGCUCCUUUCGUUUCGGCCACGUACAGAGCUCAUAGUCAUGGAAACAAAUGAAAUUCUAAUUUCGCUACAAGCUCCAGAAGGUGAAGCAGGAAAACCAUUCGGAACAACUUCUGCAGAACGCUACUACAUCUUUCGGAAACGAAGUCACAGCAGAGGACCCUGCGAAUUAUCUACUAGAGACUACUGAAGCAAUGUUCCGGCCCCGUUCAGUUAACUGAACUUAUAAUCGAUUGGCCACUGCAAGCUCGGAUCAUGGCUGGUACAAAGGGAGGCUCGCAGACGGUGGUAUUUCCACGGUGCUUGCUGUUAGUAAACCAGUUGCGGUUGGUACUAUUAUGUUCGUGGGUUUGCUCGUCAAUCUUUCCCGAAUGAUGUCAAUAUGUUAUCCAUGUUAAUUAGACAGAAUUAAGCCAAGAAUUAUUAUAUUGAAUAAAUUAAAUUGGUCAU